AUGAUGUCUGCUUCCCUCCCUCCCCCCAGCCUUAGGCUGCUCCAAUACACAAAUAAUGCUUAGCAUUUGCGUUUAUAGCUAUCAAAGCUCUUAACAGAGUUAUAGCCUUCGCUAUCCACUAAACUGUACUGCCUCCCCUCAGGAACUGAUAACAAGUGCACUAGCCAUGCGCCAGUUACGUAAACAGAGGGAAAAGCUUACCCUAUCCUUAGCUCUCUUCAUUAUGCCAGGUGUGGGAGGGAGUCCUGACCAAAUGCAUAUCAUCAUCCACCAGGUGUGCUGCCAUAACCGAGGCACAACAGGAACAAAAUGGCAGUGUUCAACUUUGAAUAAUUUCCCUCGCCCCGUUAGUUACACUGUAACGUACUGAGAGAAGGAGAUGAGGGGGUUUGGUCUCAAUUAUGUUCUAAAAAUGAUGAUGGCUGUGCAAAGUCUGCCCUUGCUUUGGCUCCAAGACACUACUUCACAUAAGGCCUUCACAGAUUUCCCUUGACAGUCUGCGUUUCACUUUUUCCAUGGACCUGCACUGUGCAUUAUUUCAGACAGAUCCAGUGAAUUAACAUAGUGUAGCUACUUUGGUAAUUACAUGCCCAGAUUCUGCUCUGCUCCUUUCUAUGUAGUCUCGACUGCUUCCCAGACAGAAAACAUCCUUCACCUUCUACAGUGUUGCAAAGUAUCACCCAGAGUCCUUGCUCAAGGGAGGAAGGUGGGGGGAGAAAUGCCAUUUCCAAAUGCACUUUUAGCUGUGGCUUUCAGGCUGGGUCUACUGAGUCUUUUUACCGAUUAAAAAAUUUCAGUUGGAGUGUGAUUCACUGAUACAGUUAAAUUGCUAAGACCAUUGUUUGGAUGCAGUUACAUAGAUGUUGGCCAACACACGUUAUUGGGCUCAGUAUGGGGUAAGCAGGUGAAAUACAUUGACCUGUGUUAUACAGGAGUUCAGAAUCAAAGAUCUAAUGGUCCCUUCUGACCUUGGAAUCUAUGUAUUGAUGGCUACGCUGGUAUAAAGGUGUGUAACUGGCCCAUAAUAGGGGGUUGUACCACUUUAUAUGGGUUUCAAACCAAUAGAGACUCCUAGAAAUGUGGGGCUGGAAGGGACUUCAAGUCCUGCCCCCCUGCCCUGUGGCAGGACCAAGUAAACCUAGACCAUCCCUGUGAUGUGUUUGUUCAAUUUGUUUUUAAAUGCUUCCAAUGAUGGGGACUCCACAACCUCCCUUGGGAGCCUAUUCCAGAGCUUAACUACCCUUAGAGUUAGAAAGUUUUUCCUAAUUUCUAACCUAAAUUUCCCUUGCUGCAGAUUAAGCCCAUUACAUCUUUGUCCUACCUACAGUGGAUGUGGAGAACAAUUGAUCACGGUCCUCUUUAUAACAGCCCUGAACAUACGAACAACCACACUGGGUCAGACCAGUGGUCUGUCUAGCCCAGUAUCCUGUCUUCCGACAGUGGCCAAUGUCAGGUGCUUCAGAGGGAAUGAACGGAACAGGAGUGUUGGUCAUUUCCUGUCUCUCUCAGCCACAUAAUCACAUUAUUUUGACCAGAUUGGAAGUCCUUUUCAGUACGAGGAAUGGGGAGAGGACCAUGAAGAAACCACACCUGCAAUUUCAGGCUUCCGGAUGCUGGGAAUUUUUGGAGGACUUGCAUCAUAUGCUGACCCCCAAGGAACAGUGAGCAAAGCAUUGGGAAUAAUGAAGGCUUUUAAUGUACUGCAAUAUAUUGCUUCAAUGACGAGAGGAAUUUUGCCACAUUAUACAGCAGUGAAACCCAUUCCACCACUGACAGCCAAAAAAACUUCUCACCUUUUUUCUGAGAGAACCGUUACCUCCAGCUAGAAUUUUUGUAUACAAAUUAAGGUAGCAGCAGCAGAAACAGUCAUAUGGAGAACCAAAGACCAUUUGGGACAUUCCUUUCUAGCACUAACUGGAGCAUGGUUCAGAUAACUAUUUUUGUCUUCUGCCCUGCACGUGGGACUUGUAUUUCUGCUCUUUAAACAGUUCUCAGAACCUCUUUA